GUGCUCGCUUUGGCAGCACAUAUACUAAAAUUGGAAUAACACAGAGAAGAUUAGCACAGCCCCUGCACAAAGAUGAUACGUAAAUUCAUGAAGCAUUCCAUAUUUUA
ensembl:snRNA U6 U6 spliceosomal RNA